ensembl:lncRNA
AAUCAAAUAGAAAUCCAGGUGCUGCUAUGAAGGUAUUUUGUGAAAGUGAUUAACAGAUACGAUCAGCUGACCUUAAAUCAAGGGGAAUAUCCUAAAUAAUAGGGGUGCAUAUCAUCCAGUCAGUUGAAAGACCUCAAGAGCAAAACCAAAGCUUCCCUGAGGGGAAAAAAAAAUUCUACUUAAGGGCUGCAGCUUUAGUGCCCGGCUGAGCCUUUCCUGUCUGGCUUCCUACCUUACAGAUUUCGGAACUACUUCAGCAGCCCUCAGAGGGCAUAAGCCAAUAAAUCUCACGCAUGUGUGUGAUGUAUGCUCUUGACAGAACCCUGACUGGACUACAGGGCCACUGUGUGAUGGGCACUCUGAUUCUUUUGGCCUGUCUCCACCCGCUCCCUUCCUGCCUCCCCAGCUGGAGAGCAUGGUGGAGGCUGGGCUGCAGGGACCCACCGCUUCCUUGCCUGGUCUUCUUGGACUGAGUAUGGAGAGGUGAGUUGAAUCUAGGGGAAUGCUGGGCUUUGGGGCAUUUUUAGAGAACCUGGAGAAAUAUAUAAGGAGCAGAAUUGAUUUGGAUGCCAAAAUAGCCAUCUAAGAUAGAAGGUUUAGGUGAGGCCACGUCACACAGAUUUUUUUGACCAUAGGGUUUGAUGCAGUCUGCAUAGCUGUACAAAUAACCCCUAAGUGCUGUAGCCUGGACCAGAGUCUCUUUCCCUUGGGCCAUGUGGCAUUUUGAACUUGCUGGUUACUGCUGCUUAUGAGGUUUUAGUCAAAGGCCUGUGGUUGUCUUUUAUGAAAGAGGAGACACAGUAAAUGUAGGGGGUCCAUGAUUGGCCUCAGCUGACAGGCGUGAGGGGGGCUGGAGAGCAACCCAACCCUGGCCUUGCUGUCCUCCACGGAGGUGCUGUCCCCAGGUGGUGGCUUUGAUAUCCAGGCUGCAGUUCCUUGGAUUACAAAGGCACACAUCCUUCAGCCUCCUGGGUUUCCUGUAACACCAGUGAGCUUCAGGAGGAUUGAUAGUGGAGAGGCUGAGGCACUCAUCCACUUACAGGGGAAAGAAAUUGUUUUGGACACACUUAUAAAGCAGCGUUCUUUUGAGGCUUUUAGAAUGUGAUGUGGCUGUGUGUGUGUGUGUGUGUGUGUGACAGAGGGUUUCAAUGAUGUGUGUGUGUGUGUGUGUGUGACAGAGGGAGGAGAGCAUUAGCUGAGCUGUCUCAAUUCCCUUCUGCCUCCAGACCAAAGAGUCAAGAAUCACUCCCCACCAUGUGAUAUUAAUGAGGCUCAGAUUACAAGGCAGAACUUUUAGUGAACCCACAGCAAGAGGUAGUAGAAACAGCAUCUACGGCCAAAGAAGAGAAAGGUCUGCUCACAGAAGAAUGUAAAUGCUAUGUAUUAUAGCAAACUGGGGUCUACAUUCAAAUUAAUAUUGGGGUGCUAGUGAGGUAAAAGUUGUGCUCUGAUCAAAAAUUAUGUAACCUUGUCCCAUUUAGACUAACACACGCCUUUUGUGGUUAUCCAAUUCUGAUUUUGUGGAGCUAUUUUACAGCUCUGUAAGUUGAAAAUAACUGAUAGCAACGCAAAAUAACUGUUGUCUACUGGCGUGGAAAUGAUUCCUUCCAUUGAGGGACAACACCUACCCCUCCAUCCUAUGCAAAAGCCAAUUUUGAAUCUGUUUGCAUAUUCACUUCAACAUUCCUUACCCCAUAAGAAUUUGUGCUUCUUUACCUUCUCCCAUGAACCAGUUGCUUAUCUCUGGUUUACUCAGUGAGUUAAAUAAAAUCUUUACCUUGUAUUCAUUUCAUAUCUGUGUUUGAGUUAUGAUUUUGCAUCUUUCAAAAAUAUCUUUUAACACUAGACACAUGGAGUUUAAAGGCAAGAUUGAAACUUAGGAAAUGUUACAUACAUUAGGUAGAUGAAAGUCCCCUCAAAUAAGACUGGGGUUGCCGCUAAGUCAAAUUUUUAGACUUUGCUCAAAGCAGCAAUGGCUUAAAUGGUCUUCUCUGAGAAAAGACAGUAGACAUAGGUUUCUCUCCCAAUCUAGAAAAUUGAUAGUUCCAAAAAUAAUCUCUUGCCAGGAGAUAUUUCCCAACUGAUUUAAAGUUCACAGGUCAUGGUCUCUGGACAACUGAUAAAAACUCUGGUGCACGGGCACAGCUCAAAACAAACUUGUACUUUUCUGUCAAUGUUGUUGAAUCUCUGCUGUCUUCUUGCCAACUCUUUUUGGUUUGGACUAGGUGCUAGGUUCCAGGAAUAUAAUUUUGUUCCAGGCUAACUGCCCAAGGAACUAGGAAUUGAGUCAUUUUCUAAAUUUGGUAGCUGUGGGCCAGUGCUCUCAUAAUCUUGUAUGUCCUGCCAGCAAUUAACUCUGGACUUCUUUCAAGGGUGGUUUGUAAAGAUUUGGCAAUCAAUAAUACAGUUCUUAUGAACUACAUUGACUACGGUACAAGGCAGCUUACGCUAUAGCUGCUGCAAAAAUCACUUUACCCAAGAUGGAGAAUCCCUCUGUUACAGCUGAACAAGAUAAGAAAUUAGGAAGGGUGCAUUUUGAAUGUUAAUAUCUUUUUAAUUCUGAAAGGGAAGGGAAAUUGAUUUUCAACUUUUCAUUUUUUUUGACUAUAAUGGCUCUAGAUUCACUUUAUAAGUAGGGCUUAAUUUAUGGACCUCAAUUCCUCUUUGAGAAUGAAAGGGAGUUUACAGUCAUAUUUCUAUGUUGACCAUUCUUUGUUGGA